UGGGUGUUGUGACCUUGUCAUUAAUCAGAAAAUUGGUGGCUGUACUCUUUUGAGACACUUGAGUCAUUUAGUGAACCUGAUCUCCCCCAGAGUACUCACUUUUUAUUUUUUUGUUGGUUUUAUUUUAUUUUAUUUUAUUUUAUUUUAUUUUAUUUUAUUUUUUAGGGCUGCACCCACAGCAAAUGAGAGUUCCCAGGCUAGGAGUUGAAUCAGAGCUAUAGUGGCCAGCUUACACCACGGUUCAUGGGAAUGUUGGAUCCUUAACCCAAUGAGCAAGGACAGGGAUUGAACCCACAUCCCCAUGGAUACUAAUUGGGUUUGUUACUGUUGAGCCCCGAUGGGAACUCCCAAGGUGCUCACUUAAAUAUGUAGGGAUUAGUCAACCAGUGGAGAAAUGGUAUAUAGUAUAAUCAUUGCAUUUUCAACAUGUCUUAUAAGUAUAUAUAUAUACUUACUGCUUCUUGUAACGGAUUUAUUUAUCAUCACUUACCCAUUUUUAAUUAGCACCUAAUACCUGACAGCAGCAUUGAAAAAGCAAAGGAAUAUCAAUUUAAUCAUUGUCAUCCAGUAGGUUUCAAUCUGGUUGGAGAUACUAGUUGUGCCAAGAUUAAGGCACAAUGUAAAUGUCAAAUGAAGCAGCCUGGAUUAUGUCAUACACAAUUAACGUGGGUUCAGAUAGACACCUGUUUAUCUGGAAACCUGAGCAAUGUUCACAUACAAACUACCUGGACACACUAUCUUUAAAUGCUGUACUUCAAAGAAACUGCUCCAUGGGGGAGUGCUCGGCAGGUUAAGAACCUGACAUAGUGUCUGAAGAUGUGGGUUUGAUCUCUGGCCUCGCUCUGGAGUUGCUGCAAGCUGUUUGCAGAUGCAGCUUGGAUCCAGUGUUGCUGUGACUAUGGUGUAGGCCUGCGGCUGCAGCUCCAAUUUGACACUUGGCUUGAGAAUUUCCAUACACCUCAGGUGCAGCUAUUCAAAAAAAAGAAAAGAAAAAGAAAUUGCUCCAUGAAGUUAAACUGCUUCUCUGGCAUCAUGAUGAUAACAAAUUGUCGUGUGUAAUGGCUACUGUGAUGCUUUGCCCAGAUGUUCUCUUCAGAGUUGACAUUUCCAACCCCUGCCUGUCAAUCAUACGGGCUUCUGAGGACUCACACUUCCACCCUUCACUG
rnacentral:lncRNA from 1 species